CAAAUCUGUUUUUGAUUUAUUUAUUUAUUUAUUCAUUUAAAACGUGAAAGGACAAUUACGCCCUUUAAAUACUUAUUUAUUCUUAUUUAUAUAAAAAAAAUUUUUUGAAUCGUUACAGCCCCACUCUGACAGCUUGAAUUUUUUAGUAGUUUAACUAUAAGAGGUUUUGAUUUGUAGUAUUUAGAAUUAAGACACUGGAUUGAACAAACUUCCACAAUCUCCCUCAGUAGCCAUUUUCCUUUACAUGGUGUAGUCUUUUUGAUUUUGAUUGUUUCGUAAAAGUUGAAAUUGUGUCGUGUAAGAGAAUGGGGGUCUGUUAAUGUAUUGAGGAUCAAGAGGUGAGCUGCUAAGAAUAUAUGGCAAGUUGUGCUAUUAUGCAAUUUUAAUUGCUUAGACUAGUUGCACAAAAGGCAGUGACCGGUGAGGCUCUUCAACGAAUUCUUAUGUUCCUUCGUUUGCUACUUCUGAUGUUGAGGGCAUCUGCUUAACAUGAAAGUUUGAAACUAUUUUUUCUCCUCUUAGUAUGAUGCUCCAUUUCUAGUAUCAUAAUUUUUUCCAAGUGAAUAUUCUUAUAUUAGAACUUUUAUUUCCUUUUUCCAUGAGAUGUACUUCCUUAUAAGACUAUUCUUUUAUGUUUGUUAUUUUUCUAAGUUGUCUACUCUUAGUUUGAACUUUAACCUAGUCUCCACUUCCCAUACAGUAUCAGUUAUUAUAGGCAUUUGGGGACCUGCUAUGUUAAGGUGGAUGACAAUGUUAAGUAUUAGUUUCUUGACAUUGACAAAUGCCAUUUUGAUGUGCAGAAAGUUCUGCUCAAUUUAUUAUUUUACUUCAUCACCUGAAGUUCUGCCUUCUUUUGAAGGAUUUGGUGUCUCCAUGAGAUGGACUGGUGCUGAUGGGAGGAAGAUAUGACAAUGUUUUUGCGAAAUGUUGGACUGACAUCUUCUUUUCUAUUGUAUUGGUGCUGCUGUACAUAUGACAACUAUGAUGUUCUUAACUUGGAAUUGUUGUAGUCUAUAGGAUAUUGAUCAAGUAGGUUGUUUGACAGUUUCUGUUCAUUUUUAACAGAUGUCCUGUUAUUUAUUAUUUUGUGGUUUUACAUCAACACGAAUAGCCAAGAAUUUGUUGCAGAAACACUUUGGACUUUCAUUGUUGAAGGAUUUUCAGGAGGAAGCUCUAGAAGCUUGAUUGUCUCAUCAAGGUUGUCUUGUUCUUUCAGCAACAGGAUCAGGGAAAUCUGUGUUUUCAGAGUCCGGCACUGCUGACUGGGAACGUUGUCAUUGUUAUAUCACUGUUGAUUAGCUUGAUGCAUGAUCAGUGUUUGAAGUUAACAAAACAUGGUGUUUCUGCUUGCUUCCUUGGGUCUUGUCAAACUGAUCAAAGUGUUGAGCAGAAAGCAAUGGCAGGCAUAUAUAGCAUCAUUUAUGUAUGCCCUGAGACAAUUCUAAGACUCAUAAAACUCCUCCAAAGCCUUGCAUAAAGUCAUGGCAUUGCUCUAGUUGCAGUCCAUGAAGUUCAUUGUGUUUCUAAGUGGGGACAUGAUUUUCCACCAAAUUACAGGCAUAUCUGUUUUGAGAGAGAACUUUAGAAUGGAUACCAUGAAGUUUCUGAAGUUUGACAUUCCGAUCAUGGCACUGACUGCUACUGCCACUACUCAUGUUCGAGAAUACAUUCUUCGGUCAUUGCACAUGUCAAAGGUGAAGUGCACUCUAAUACAUCAUCUUUAGCAUCCUACAAAAUGGAUUUUUAUGAUGGAUAAAAUACUUAUUCCAGAAAAGGUAAGUCUUCCUCGAAAAAUAAGUUAAUGUGAACAAAUCCGGAGGAGAACUCUGAAAGCUCUGAUAAUGCUUCCAAUGGUUUCAUGGAUGAAUGUAAUGCUUCAUUGUUUCUGACAGUGACAAUGAAGUAUCUUCUCCUGGGAGAUAUGAUUAAGAUUCAUGGAAGGACUGACAAUUGUCUGUUGAGCAUCCGGAAGAUGAGUGUGAUAUUGUGCAUAAUAUUAUAUGAAUACCUAUGGUGAUAAGAAAACUCAUGCCUUCUCCUGGGUUUAGCAGAGUUUAUCCUGCAGUGCUAAAGUUUGAUUGUGAUACACAUACACCAAAUGCUCUGUUAUUCAACUUAAAUUAUCCAGAAGAGUCAUGUUUAUCUAUUGAUCUGAGACAUCGGCUCCCAAGAGGGAGGGAGGCACUACAUGUAUUUUGAGCUGUUUAAUUUCUUUUGUGAAACAGUUCUGUAUGCAAACUUGUCAAAGGACACCUACGCUUCUACCAAGUCAAAGAAGUGAGGAGCAAACAAAACAAGCAUAUAAGCUGUUACUCUGAUUGCUUUGGUUGUAAGCUAAUUAUUAAUUGAACGACUUCAAUUAGUACUUUGGUUUCCAUUUAUGUGUUGGUUAUGUUUAACAGAUAUGGAAUGUACACUUCUUGCUAUAGAGCCAAGCUACUUGUGGAGUACUUUGACGAGCACUUACUUUUGAAGAUAUAUCUCGUGGAUGUCAAGACACACUGGCUAUUGUGCUUUUUCCUUUGUUCCUUACAUGUCAAGGAUGUGUGCUUGUGCUUCUCUGUUGAUUUUCUUCCACGUUUCUUUUCGGGGUGUGAUAUAUGCAUCAAAGGUCCACCUGAAAGACAGAAUUUAGAGGCUGAGGCAAUGAUCAUCUUGCAAGUUGUUGCUACUCAUUGUGUGAAGGAAUUUUGCAGACAUCUCCUAUGGUGGUUAUGAAGGGAGACUUGGUGAGAGUCCAAACAUCAAGGCUUUAGUCGGCAAAAUAAGAGAACAGAUCUUUCAUGCCCUGCCAAUAGAGUUCCCUGGAGAUAUAUCAUGUUUGUAAUUUGGAUUGCUCUCGAAGAGACUUGUUCAAAAUCUUUUUCGACAUCAAUUACACGUUGGGUUGCUUAUAACAAUCUGCAAUUCCCGCCUUAUGGUGUAAAGCUACUAUGUCAUACUGAAAAUAGGUUCAAUUUGUCGAGCAGCUGUCCUGCUGCUACAUGUUACUCUACUCUUAACAAGGUCGUGUUUUAUUUUGCUCAUCUCAUAAGUGCCAAUUUUCUUUUACAGAACUUUGACAAUCCGCUUUGCAUGUAUUCUGGUAUACUAUACCACUUUAAAUUUAUUCAUUUUUUAGAGAGUACCUUUAAGUUGCUCAUGCAUUCCUCUAUUCUUGUAAAUUCUGAUACUUAUCGAGAAUUAUAUUUAUAUCUACUUUUGUUUUCAAUCUUUCUGCUAGCAUAUAACAUCAACUCCACUCUGUUUGUGUUCAACCAAUGCAUGAGAAUUGCCAGAUAUUUGUUUUAUUUAAAUUGAUCCGUGUUUGUUGUUUUCCACCAUAUUUACAACAUUGUUGUUAAGGCUCUUUUGUAUUUUACCGUUUCCUAUUGCAACUCUAAUCUUGUCAUUUGUC